UGCCGCGGCCUCCCCGGGGGCGUAGGACGUGUCCGGGCUGCAGCUCGCACCGCAGGACCCCAGCCUGUGCUUUUACCCAGUUUAAGGAUUCUGCUUGACAUUCGUGCAGGCUCCGUGACCGUGUUUCCCCAGGGCACGGGGAAGGAAGGGAUGGAUGGAGGGCUCGGAAAGAGGUUUCCCGGGAGGAAUGCCGGGCAGCGGGACAUUUUCACACGCACCAGAGACAGAGCCCAGGAAUGAAGGCCAGCGGGCUUGGUGGAGCAGCACCUACGAGCCCUCCUGCACAAGCACUGCGGGGAAAUGGCUGUGUGCUGCUGGGGUGACACAUCCCGGCAGUGUUGGCACAGACAGCUGGGUGACAUGCAGCCUGUGCCCAAACUGCCUGUACUGUGAGAUGACUGAGAAUUACCUCCACACCAGGCCAGAGAAUGAGAAGGCUUACCUGUCCUCUCCCUUAAAAUGUUCUUUCCAUGUAAUGCAGCCGGCGUGCUGGCAGCUGCAACUUGCUGAGAUUUCUUUGCUUUCCAGUUUUUAGUUUUCUUUUUUUAAUUUGUAAUGAAUCUUGAAUGACCAGACUGUGCAUGAUUUCUGUGUGUCUCAAAGUCCUGCUCGUUAAGCAAAGGCAGUAUCUGUUCCUGUGGAACAAGUUGGUGUUCCCUGUGAGCAAGACCAAGAGUCUGACCUCAAGCAUCAUAGCAAAAACUUUAACUUAGGCUUUGAGGGAAGCGAGCUCUAGGAGAAGCAGAAGUGUUAGCAACUGCUGUUUCUCGAGCUGGAGGUUGCAUGAAGGGAGGGGAUGUCUCAAAAUCGGGCAAGAGGCUAUGAGUCAGAGUAGGCUGACUCCAUUUGCUGCAAGAAUUGCCUGUGCUUUCUUGUCCAACCUGUCCUGCUCCCAGCCCUGCUGGAACCACUUGUGAUGAUGCUAAGUUAUUUGCCAUGUCUCCUCGGGUAGCCUCCAGAGCUGAUAGAUUUUGUCGUUUGAUACAUUUCCUACAGACUAUAAAAAAUAAACAGCAGAGAUCUCAACGGGAAGAGAGAAGCUUUGCAGACCUAGCAAGGGCUGACCAUACUCAAUGAAAGGAAAUUCUCACUGUGACUAAGGGGCCGUGCUGGUAUGAAAUAAAACACUCUUCAGUGGUGAGGCACUGCUGGCUGAGCUAGAAGACAGUCUAAUAUCCAGUAUUUCAUUUUCUCAUGUUUAGUACUUAGUUUGUCAUAAACAGAGUAACUAUGAGGGUCAGACAUAAGUAUAUUAAGUCCAUUACUAUAGGAACAAUAUUAAGGAAUACAUUACUGCAACACUUAGGAAUAAUACCUUGGAAUGUAGGAAAACUAA